AAGGCUGUAUUUUCUAGGAUCAUUUCUAUAGUUCAACACUAGAGAAGUUUCUAAAAGUAUAGAGCAUCACUAUAGUUCCAAAUCUGA
rnacentral:snoRNA from 1 species